CCGUGACGCUUCCCGUGAUUCAUUCAGUGUGCGGGACCUGCAGUUUCGCGAGCCUCAGAACGGUGCGCAUCAGCUGUUGGCCGACGGCAGAUAUUUGAAAGUCGUCCCUACUUGUUCCGGUACGCUAUGUCGGACUCGCCACCAGAAGAGGAACUCGAUGAAUCGUCUUACGAGAGUGACUCGGUGCUGGAGGAACGUAAGUUGCGCGCCUUUUCCAUUUUUUUUUCAUUUUUCAUUUAGUAAAUCGUUAUCUACCACAGACAACGGUAAUCGCGGACACCAAUCGGUCGCGGGACUAAAAACAGAACUUCACCGCAUAGCACGCUCUGCGCAAACCAUUGCCGCGACUGAUAUAGGGUUAUCGAUUCUGAUUCGAACAGAGAGGGGGCGUACGCCUUUUUGUGUAAAUUUUGAUAUAUGAUAAUUUACACAAAAAGGCGUACAGAGCUACGGCGCAUAGCACGCAGCUAGCCAACCAUCAUCCCGAAUGACAUCUUUCGUUCCCGUGAUUUGUUUAGAACGGGAGCCGUACGCCCUUUUCUGACAAUUAUGCAGUUAUGUUAAUUGUCACAAAAAGAAAGGUCUGCGC